rnacentral:rRNA from 1 species
UACGUAGGGGGCAAGCGUUGUCCGGAAUCAUUGGGCGUAAAGCGCGCGUAGGCGGCCCGGUAAGUCCGUUGUGAAAGUCAAAGGCUCAACCUUUGAACGCCGAUGGAUACUGCCGGGCUAGAGUCCGGAAGAGGCGAGUGGAAUUCCGUGGUGUAGCGGUGAAAUGCGCAGAUAUCAGGAGGAACACCAAUUGCGAAGGCAGCUCGCUGGGACGUAACUGACGCUGAGACGCGAAAGCGUGGGGAGCAAACAGG